AGAGUUUGAUCCUGGCUCAGGAUGAACGCUGGCGGCGUGCUUAACACAUGCAAGUCGAACGGGCUCAUAUUGAAACCUAGUGAUUUAUGAGUUAGUGGCGGACGGGUGAGUAACGCGUGGAAAACCUGCCGUAUACUGGGGGAUAACACUUAGAAAUAGGUGCUAAUACCGCAUAAGCGCACAGCUUCGCAUGAAGUGGUGUGAAAAACUCCGGUGGUAUACGAUGGUUCCGCGUCUGAUUAGCUUGUUGGCGGGGUAAUGGCUCACCAAGGCGACGAUCAGUAGCCGGCCUGAGAGGGUGAACGGCCACAUUGGGACUGAGACACGGCCCAAACUCCUACGGGAGGCAGCAGUGGGGAAUAUUGCACAAUGGGGGAAACCCUGAUGCAGCGACGCCGCGUGAGUGAAGAAGUAUUUCGGUAUGUAAAGCCCUAUCAGCAGGGAAGAAAUAGCGACCUUUGGGUCGCCAGACGGUACCUGAUUAAGAAGCCCCGGCUAACUACGUG
rnacentral:rRNA from 1 species